CGGUUGAUCCUACCGGACCCUACUGCUAUCGGGUUGGGACUAAAACAUGCUAGUCGAGCGCCUCUCAAGCUAUGUCGUUGUGGAGACGCGGCACACGGCUCAGUAACACGUGGCUAACCUACCCUUAGGACGGAGACAACCCCGGGACACUGGGGCUAAUCUCCGAUAGGUGAAGACGCCUGGAAUGGUCCUUCACCCCAAAGGAUGUUGAAAGCAUGCUUUUCAACGUCGCCUAAGGAUGGAGCCGCGGCCGAUCAGGUUGUUGGUGAGGUAAAGGCUCACCAAACCUAUAACCGGUACGGGCCAUGAGAGUGGGAGCCCGGAGAUGGGCACUGAGACAAGGGCCCAGGCCCUACGGGGCGCAGCAGUUGCGAAACCUCCACAAUGCACGAAAGUGUGAUGGGGCUAACCCGAGUGCCGUCCGCUGAGGACGGCUUUUCUCCGCUGUAAGGAGGCGGAGGAGUAAGGAGAGGGCAAGACUGGUGUCAGCCGCCGCGGUAAUACCAGCUCUCCGAGUGGUAGGGAUGAUUAUUGGGCUUAAAGCGUUCGUAGCCGGCCUGGCAAGUCUCUCGUUAAAUCCAGCGACUUAAUCGCUGGGCUGCGAGAGAUACUGUCAGGCUUGGGAGCGGGAGAGGCCGACGGUAUUCUCGGGGUAGGGGUGAAAUCCUGUAAUCCCGGGAGGACCACCAGUGGCGAAGGCUGUCGGCUAGAACGCGUCCGACGGUGAGGGACGAAAGCUGGGGGAGCGAACCGGAUUAGAUACCCGGGUAGUCCCAGCUGUAAACUAUGCGGGCUAGGUGUCGGUGUGGCUACGAGCCACUCCGGUGCCGCAGGGAAACCCAUAAGCCCGCCGCCUGGGAAGUACGGCCGCAAGGCUGAAACUUAAAGGAAUUGGCGGGGGAGCAC
rnacentral:rRNA from 1 species